UACGUAGGCAGCGAGCGUUGUUCGGAGUUACUGGGCGUAAAGGGUGUGUAGGCGGUUGUUUAAGUUUGGUGUGAAAUCUCCCGGCUCAACUGGGAGGGUGCGCCGAAUACUGAAUGACUCGAGUGCGGGAGAGGAGAGUGGAAUUCCUGGUGCAGCGGUGAAAUGCGUAGAUAUCAGGAGGAACACCGGUGGUGUAGACGGCUCUCUGGACCGUAACUGACGCUGAGACACGAAAGCGUGGGUAGCAAACAGG
rnacentral:rRNA from 1 species